ensembl:snRNA U1 U1 spliceosomal RNA
AUUCUUACCUGUCAGGGGAGAUACCAUGGUCAUGAAGGUGGUUUUCCCAGGGUGAGGCUUAUCCAUUGCACUUCGGAUGUGCUGACCUCUGUGAUUUCCCCAAAUGUGGGAAACUGGACUGCAUAAUUUGUGGUAGUGGGGGACUGCAUUCAUG